UACGGGGGAUGCAAGCGUUAUCCGGAAUCACUGGGCGUAAAGCGUGUGUAGGUGGUGAUGCAAGUCACUGGUGCAAAACUCUGGCUCAACCGGAGGAAAGCCAGUGAAACUGCAUGACUAGAGUGUGGGAGAGGUAUGAGGAAUUCCCUGAGUAGCGGUGAAAUGCGUAGAUACAGGGAAGAACACCGGAGGCGAAAGCGUUGUGCUGGAACACAACUGACACUGAGACACGAAAGCUAGGGGAGCGAAUUUG
rnacentral:rRNA from 1 species